rfam:Dipodomys ordii contig_61265, whole genome shotgun sequence.
GGUGGCUCAGUGGUAGAGUACUUGCCUCAAAUGCAUGAAGCCCUGGGUUCGAUUCCUUAGCACCA